CAAUAGCGUAUAUUAAAGUUGUUGCGGUUAAAAGCUCGUAGUUGGAUUUCUGUUGAGAACAGGCGGUCCACCUUUUGGGUGAGUAUCUGCAUUGGUCUCGGCAUCUUCUCGGAAAACGUCACCGCGCUUGAUUGCGUGGUACGGUGUUCGGGACUUUUACUUUGAGGAAAUCGGAGUGUUCACGGCAGGCAAUUGCUUUGAACGUAUUAGCAUGGAAUAAUAAUCUAGGUUCUUCCGCCUAUUUUGUUGGUUUCUAGGCGAUAGAAAAUGGUUAAGAGGGACAGUUGGGGGCGAUUCGUAUUAACGCGUCAGAGGUGAAAUUCUUGGAUUGCGUUACGACGAACUACUGCGAAAGCAUUUGCCAAGGAUGUUUUCAUUGAUCAAGAACGAAAGUAAGGGGAUCGAAGACGAUCAGAU
rnacentral:rRNA from 1 species